AAGGAGUCUAACAUAUCUGCGAGUAUUUGGGUGUCAAACCCGAGUGCGCAAUGAAAGUGAACGUAGGUGCCUCGCGCACGCUGCACCUUCGACCGAUCUGGAUCUUUAGUGAUGGAUUUGAGGAAGAGCAUAGAUGUUGGGACCCGAAAGAUGGUGAACUAUGCCUGAAUAGGGUGAAGUCAGGGGAAACUCUGAUGGAGGAUCGUAGCGAUUCUGACGUGCAAAUCGAUCGUCAAAUUUGGGUAUAGGGGCGAAAGACUAAUCGAACCAUCUAGUAGCUGGUUCCUG
rnacentral:misc_RNA from 1 species